AGGAGGUGGUCGGGGACCGGGAAGUCUGGGCUUCCCUACUGAGACUGCUGCCCCCGCGACCCGGACCCGGAUAAGCGGAGGAAAAUGGAAUGGAAUGGAAUGGAAUAUAUAUAACCCCUGUAAACUACUAGAUGUUGAAACAAUGGAGAAGAUAAUAAGGAGGCAUGGUGGUAGAGAGAUCUGGUGUGGGGACUUUAAUGCACAUAAUAGUUUAUGGGGAAGUAAGCGAACAGAUCACAAUGGAAUAGUAGUAGAAGAACUCAUGGAUAUCAGACAGUUAGUCUGCUUAAACAAGGGAAAUGGAACAAGAAUAGAUAUACAGUCAAAUAGAAUGUCAUGCAUUGGUUUUACUCUGGUCUGACAUAGCUUGGCAAGUUCCUGUGAAUGGUAAGUACAUGAAACCACAAGUAUAGGAAGUGAUCAUUUUCCGAUAAGUUGUACAAUAAACACAGAAGUAGAUAUCAAAGAAAGACCCAGACACAAAAAAGUGGUGCUUUUCAAAAGCGGAUUGGGGAAAAUUCAGGGAGGAAUGUAGCAAAGCAGCAAAUUCAAUACCAAUGGAAGGUGGCAUAGAGGAAUGCACAGUUAAGAUGACAAAUAAGAUCAUAGAGGCAGCAAUGAAAAGUAUACCGUGUAAGUCAAUUGGAGGGGAAAGGAAAAUGGUUCCAUGGUGGAAUGAAAAGUGCACAACAGCUGGAAAAGAAAGAAAUAGCACAUUAAGAAGGUUAAGGAAGAACCUCAGCCAAGAAAAUGUAAUAAAUUAUCAGAGGAAAAAAGCUAUAGCCCGAAGAGUAAUUAAAAACAGUAAACAAAACGCAUGGAGGGAUUAUUGCUCUGCCAUAGGAAGGGAAAUUAAGAUAGGAGAUGUAUGGUCAAUGUUGAAGAAGAUGAGUGGGAAAAACGUGUUUGCUAAAAUACCUACAUUAGAAGAUAAUGGAACAAUGUAUGUGACUGAUAAAGAAAAAGCAAAUGUGCUGGGGAAAAAGCUUGCAGGGGUGCACAGUGGAGACCAUCUGGAUGAAAAUCAUAGACGAGGGAAAGAGAGGAUGAUAAAAGAGAAUAGGGAUGUGUUACUAAAACAGGAUAGUGAGGAGAGUGUGAUGGAUGUUGAAAUUAAUAUCAAUGAACUGCUAAUAGUAUUAAAUAAAAGUAAAGAUACUGCAACAGGAGAAGACCAGUUGAGUUAUAUUAUGUUCCAGAACCUACCAGAAAAUAUGUUGGGAAAAAUAUUAUAUUUAUUUAACAAAAUAUGGGAAGAAGGGAAAAUACCAAAGCAAUGGAAAAGUGCAUUAAUUUUACCAUUUAAUAAACCCGGUAAGGAUCCAAAACACCCUGUGAAUUAUCGACCUGUUGCUCUAACAUCACAUCUAUGCAAAUGGAUGGAGAAAGUUCUAGUCAGAAGACUUAACUACUUCCUUGAAAGUCGAGAGUUACUUACAACUUAUCAGUGUGGGUUUAGAAAAGGACGAUCAACAAUGGAUGCUGUAGUUAGAGUAAGUCAGGAAAUAGCGAAAACCUUUAAAAUGAAAGAGUUGAUGAAUAUUGUAUUCUUUGAUAUUGAAAAGGGUUAUGAUUCCAUGUGGCGGGAGGGUUUAUUGAUUAAGAUGAAUAGGAUGGGAAUUAGAGGUAGGUUCUAUAACUGGGUCCUUGAUUUCAUAUCGGACAGAAAAUUCAAACUAAAAAUAGGAUCAGAGAUGUCAGAAGAAUACAGUAUAGCAAAUGGGGAGUGUAAUUAGUCCAGUUUUGUUUAACAUAAUGAUAAAUGAUAUAUUCAUGAAUCUGGAUAGAAGGAUUGGGUCGGCCCUAUAUGCAGAUGAUUGAGUGAUUUGGGCAAGGGGACGAGAUUCUAUAAAUGUGACAAGUAAAAUGAAGGAAGCAAUAAAGAAGAUAGAACAAUGGUCAUAUGACUGGGGAUUUAAGCUAUCACCCAAUAUAACAUGUUACAUGACGAUUACCAGGAAAAAAGGCAUAAAAAAUCAGAACCUGAUGCUAUAUGGACAAAACAUGAUAAAAGUAGAUCAUUUUAAAUAUCUUGGUAUGUGGCUAGAUCAGAAAGGUACAUGGAAGACCCAUGUGGAAAAGGUAGAAGAGAAAUGUAAGAGGAUAAUAAACUUAAUGAGAGCUGUUACAGGUAAGGAGUGGGGAGCAGAUAAACAGUCACUAAUAUACUGUGUAUAUAUAUAGAGCUUUGAUGAGAGCAAAUAUAGAUUAUGGAAGUUUUGUGUAUGGAGCUGCAGCUAAAACACAUUUAAUGAAAAUAGAAAGAAAUAUUCACAAAGCAUUUAGGAUAAGUACAGGUGCAAUCACAUCAACACCAAUGAAAGCAAUGCAGGUUGAGUUAGGAGAAGUAGCGUAUGACCUGAGAAGAGAUCAACUUAUGUUGACAUACUGGAGUAGACUUAAAGGAUGUAGGCAUGGACAUCUGGCCAAGGAUGUGAUGGAGGACUGUUGGGAGUAUAAUACAACUAAAAGUAAUAGCUUUGGGUGGGUAAAUAAAUAAGCUCCUCACACUUGGCCUGUCUCCCUCCCUCUGUAACUGGGUGUUUAACUUUCUAACAGGCAGGCCCCAGUCAGUCAGAGUCCACAACCGCAUAUCCAGCUCAAGAAUUGUGAGCACUGGGACCCCACAGGGGUGUGUGCUGAGUCCACUCCUCUACACGCUCUUCACCUACGAUUGCGUGGCCUCCCAGAACAACACCAGCAUCAUUAAAUUUGCGGAUGACACUACAGUCAUCGGACUGAUCACUGGUGGUGUUGAAACAUCAUACAGAAGAGAGGUGGCGGACCUCAUAGCUUGGUGUCGUGAUAACAAUCUCCUUCUCAAUACAGAUAAGACUAAAGAGAUGAUCAUCGACCCAAGAACAAGGGAAAAGGAGCCGCAUAGACCCCUGUUUAUUGAUGAGACUGAGGUGGAGAGGGUGAAAACCUUCAAGUUCCUUGGCACACACAUCAGCGAGGACCUCACCUGGUCUCACAACACCCAACAAAUUCUGAAGAAGUCCCAAAGGAGACUGUACUUCCUGAGAAGACUGAGGAAAUUUGGCAUGUCCACCACAAUCCUGAGUUGCUUCUACAGAUGCACUAUGGAAAGUGUCCUUACCGCCUCCAUCACUGUUUGGUACGGUAACUGUACAACACGUGAUAGGAAGGCACUCCAGCGGGUGAUCAAGACCUCACAGAACAUUGUUGGGGCAGCCCUCCCCUCACUGCAAGACAUUUAUACAUCUAGAGUCCUACGCAGAACACACAACCUCAUCAAGGACAGCACACAUCCACAACACUCAUUAUUCACACUCCUACCGUCAGGCAGACGCUACAGGAGUUUGAAGUCCAGGACCACAAGGCUGGCAAACAGCUUUUACCCACAGGCCAUCAGGCUUCUCAAUGAAGCACUCAGACACGCCACACGCAACACACACUCAUAGCACUUUAUUUAUUUAUUUAUUUAUUUAUUUGUGUUAUUUACUUGUAUUAAUGUCUCUUCUGUUGUUGUUGCUUAAAUUCUUGGUAUUUAUGUAUAUGUGUUUAUGUUUCUUAUGUUCUUAUUCUUUCUUGUGUUUUUCUUCUUUUCUUGGGAGAAUGAACAGAAUAAGAUUUUCAUUGCAUGGUAUAACUGCUGUUUUACCAUGCACAUGACAAUAAAACUCUCUUGAAUCUUGAAUCUUGAAUUAAAGAUAAAAUAGAUAAAUAUAACAUACAAAAUAUACAUAUUAAUAAUUUUACACCCAUAAGCAAUAUUCCUAUCUGGCUAUUUCCUAAACCUGAAGUAGAUAUACAUAUAACAGAGUUAAAAAAUAAAUGGAAAGAUAAUGAAAAAGGACAUAAGGCAAGUCAAUAUAUUAAAAAUAAAUAUUAUGGUUACUUAGAUAUGUAUACAGAUGGAUCGAAAAAGCGAAGAAGGGAAGGUGGGGAUUGGAAUCUAUGUACCAACAAUGAAUUAUAGCAUCAUUAAAAGAUUACCAGACCAGCUCUCGGUUUAUACAGCAGACAUGAUGGCAAUGAUUAUAGGCUUGCAAUGGAUAGAGGAAAUAAAACCAGAUAGAGUGGUAUGUUGUGUGGACUCUCUGGCAGCAUUAUAUAGUAUUAAAAAUAUGGAAUCAAGUCGAGAGGAUUUAUUAUUAGAAAUACAUCAAAACUUAUUCCAACUACACAUGUUAAAAAUAGACAUAAGAUUUUGCUGGGUGCCUGCACAUGUAGGGGUGGAGGGGAAUGAGGUGGCAGAUAAAAUGGCUAAAAUGGGAAUUAGAAGGAAUGAAAUGAUAGAUAUACCUGCUGGUAAAGGUGAAGUAAAGGCAAUAAUCAAAAAACAAAUGAUGGAGAAAUGGCAAAAUAGGUGGGAUGAGGGUAGUAGCGGGAGAAAGUAUUAUAAAGUACAAAGAUCUAUCAGUGCACAAGGGGUGAAGAGAAGAAACAGAAAAGAGGAAAUAGUGUUAACUGGGAUGAGGUUCAAUCACACCGGGUUAAAUGACAAGAUGUUUUUGAUAGGGAAAUGUAAAUCAAAAGUAUGUAUGGAGUGUAAAAGUAUAGAGAAUGUAGAACACAUAUUACUACACUGCAAGAGAUAUAGGGAAGAACGUGUAACGUUAAGGAAAAGAAUUAAGAUAGGAAGGGAAUGGAGCAUUGAGGGUAUCUUAGGAACAGGUGGGGAGGGGGUAAGAGAUAUACAGAGGGCAGUGAUAGAAUAUUUGAAGGACACAGGAUUAUAUAAUAGAAUAUAGAUAAGUAUUAGAAUAUUUUAGUAUAAGUAUUAUUAUUACGAUUAUUAUUAGUAGUAGUAUAAGUAGUCUCCUCACUCCUCACUAAAGUAAGAUACUGUAUAUGGCCCAUGUUACAUACUCCGGUACAGUAGGUGGCGGUAUGCACCUUUUCAAGUCAUGGUUGCAACCCGCCAUUAAACUAAAAGAAGAAAGAAAAUUAUGCGCAUGCGCACUCUGUUUAUUUUCAAACGCGUUGUGGCAGUCUUUGGAGUUCACUGCGGAAUUUACCGGGGAAUAACCUUUUUUGCAGUUUAUCAUCAAUCAGUAAUCAUUGUAAUGGAUUUGGAAACCGGGACGUAUGAGCCAGGAUUCGUGGGGAUCCGGUUUUGUCAAGAAUGGUGAGUUUGCGACGAGGGCCUUUGCAUGAAUUAAACUAGCGAGCUGGCUAGCAAUGCAACAAAACGUGAAAGCUACACUGCUAGCUUGAAGUGACGCACUGCAAAAGACGUAACAACAUGUUGUAUCCAAAAGAAGACAAGGAGAAUCGUAUCCUGCUGUAUGCGUGCAGGAAUUGUGACUACCAGCAAGAAGCAGACAACAGUUGUAUUUAUGUCAAUAAGAUUACCCAUGAGGUUGAGUAAGUGUUAAUAAUAAGUGAUCGUGUUUGUGUCUUCUGCUCUCUGACCUAUGUGUUGUAUCAACAAACCGUUUUUUCAACUUAAUAACCAUUUGCCAACAUGUA